CUGAGAGGCUUACUACUAUCUGUUCUACUGGAUGAUCUCAGAAAGUGAAGAAGCUCAUUUUCCUCUGUGGAUGUCCUUGGUUUCUGGAUAUUCUUUUAAGGGCUACAAAAGGUUAUGAUGCUACUAUUCUCACAAUACGUUGGAGUGCAGAAUUCUCUAAAUGCUAUGCUGUUAGAAAAUUCCUUAGGAACAUAACCUUAAGAAGUGCUUAUGAAAAGAAGAACAGAAAGUCCAAGAGAAGAGAAUGGGAAGCAGCCAGAAGGAUUCUACAUAGUACACUUCUACUAAAAAACUAUAGGCAGCUUCUGAAGGACAUAAAAAAGAUAAAUCAAGUGUUUACUCAUAACCAUGCACCCUUUAUUCUGCU
rnacentral:lncRNA from 13 species